AGCAACUUGCUCAGAUUUAUGUUUCCGUAGUGUGGGAGCUUUGUUCUUUCACUGUUUGCGGUGCCAUUCCAUAUAAAGUGAAGGAUAACGGCUACAGCAUUUUUUGUUAGACUUGGACAAUGUUGAAUGUACUACAGAAGCAUACUUUAAGGCUCCAGAGAGAGACAAGGAGAUGAGGAGACAAGCAGACGAACAGCGGAACAAUGCAGCAGAGAAAGAGAGAAGAGAAGGAACGUCUGAACGUCGAGAGGAGUUCGGCUGCUGGACGGCCAAACUCCAGGGGAAGAUCAUCUUCCCACUCCAUUCCCCCUCCAGCUCCCCAUCCAUCCCACUGAGAGCCACUUCCACCACUCAAUAAAAGCCCCACAUUUAUCCUUCAA